GUUAGUGAUAAUCUUGUCUAGUAGUAGAUUAGUUAGUUUUUAUUUAGAGGUUCAAAACGUGUAUUAGCUUUGCAUUAGUCCAGCUAGGGUUAGUAUAGGGAUUGGUCAUGUACACGUGAUGUUUAAAGGCUGAGCUCUGGUCAUAGUUGUACCGGAGGAGGUAUUGCCAGUUGUGUACGUGAGUCCUAGUAGAGUUGAAGUUGGGCUCCGAAUAGGUUUAGGUUGUACAGGUCGGCGGCUGCUCUGCAUAUAUAUGCAUCAGGUCAUGCAAAAAUUUUGUACUGUGAGUUGAGAGAAAAAGGAGAAAUAAAAAGAGGGAAAAUUAGGGCACGACAAGGGCCCUUGUCCAUAAGAUUUUGUGUGUGCGUGUUCGUCCUGAUUUGAUGUGAUUGAUCCAUGGGCGAGUUCCAACAAUUGGUAUCUAGAGCAAGGUCGAGGUGAGGCUGCGCUUGCCCCGGGGUGACAAGCCCACUAGUGCCUCGGGGCGGGCAAUAUAGUCGUUGGGUGGUGCAACGACGAGAAGAGCUGGCAAUAUAGUCGCUGGUGUAGCGACGAGGAGGAGCGGGUGAUAGUCGCUGAGUGCUGCAGCGACGGCGAGGAUCGGGCAAUAGUCGUUCGUGGAGCGAUGGAUGAGGAGGUUCAGAAGAUCGUUGUUCGGCGGAGCGAUAUGGAAGGAGAUCAUUGAUGGAAGAGGUGGUGCCGAGGUGCGGCGCUGGAGCUCAUCAAGAUCGUCGUCCAGGGGAGUUGGACCAGUCAAGGAGUCAUGCGAGUCGUAUGUUCGGGCGUUGUCAUGUCCAAGUGCUCGUCUUGGUGAUGAUUCGUUGAAGUUGAAGUGGUGUGCACGGUGUUCCGUGAGUCAUGUCCAUGUCCUCGUGGAGCGCCCUGGUUGCGGCCAGUGUGGAUUCGGUGUGAUGCCGAAGGCGGACGAUGGUAGGCUAUGCCAUCGUAAAGCGAGGAGAUGUGCAAGCAGUGGAGAGUGGAUCUACUGCAAGAAAGUACAAGGAGUAUGGUGCGGACCGAGUGCAAGGCAGCGGCCAAGCAAUGGCGGUGGCACAAUACUGUAGAGCAAGGAGGUUCUACAUGUUUCCAGACGGGUCAUACUCAAUGUAUGGAUACGACGGUUUAGUCGAUGUGUUGAAGUCAUGAGUCAACAAUGAGUCAAUUCUAAAGAGAGCACAAGGAGAUGACAUGUCAAGAUUAGGAAGAGAAUGUUAGUGAUAAUCUUGUCUAGUAGUAGAUUAGUUAGUUUUUAUUUAGAGGUUCAAAACGUGUAUUAGCUUUGCAUUAGUCCGGCUAGGAUUAGUAUAGGGAUUGGUCAUGUACACGUGAUGUUUAAAGCUGAGCUCUGGUCAUAGUUGUACCGGAGGAGGUAUUGCCAGUUGUGUACGUGAGUCCUAGUAGAGUUGGAGUUGGGCUCCGAAUAGGUUUAGGUUGUACAGGUCGGCGGCUGCUCUGCAUAUAUAUGCAUCAGGUCGUGCAAA
rnacentral:lncRNA from 1 species